GUGAGGAAUAUUGGACAAUGGGCGCAAGCCUGAUCCAGCCAUGCCGCGUGCAGGAAGACGCAUCUAUGGUGUGUAAACUGCUUUUGUACGGGAAGAAACACUCCCUCGUGAGGGAGCUUGACGGUACCGUAAGAAUAAGGAUCGGCUAACUCCGUGCCAGCAGCCGCGGUAAUACGGAGGAUCCAAGCGUUAUCCGGAAUCAUUGGGUUUAAAGGGUCCGUAGGCGGUUUAAUAAGUCAGUGGUGAAAGCCCAUCGCUCAACGAUGGAACGGCCAUUGAUACUGUUAGACUUGAAUUACAAGGAAGUAACUAGAAUAUGUAGUGUAGCGGUGAAAUGCUUAGAUAUUACAUAGAAUACCAAUUGCGAAGGCAGGUUACUACUUGUGGAUUGACGCUGAUGGACGAAAGCGUGGGGAGCGAACAGGAUUAGAUACCCGAGUAGUCC
rnacentral:rRNA from 1 species